UACGAAGGGGGCUAGCGUUGCUCGGAAUCAUUGGGCGUAAAGGGCGUGUAGGCGGUUUGCUAAGUCAUGUGUGAAAUCCCUCGGCUCAACCGGGGAACGACGCAUGAAACUGGCAAGCUAGAGUACCAAAGAGGGGGGUGGAAUUCCCGGUGUAGCGGUGAAAUGCGUAAAUAUCGGGAGGAACACCUGUGGCGAAGGCGGCCCCCUGGUUGGAUACUGACGCUGAGACGCGAAAGCGUGGGGAGCAAACAGG
rnacentral:rRNA from 1 species